CUCAGGACCACUUGAUGCUCACCCUGCAUCAAACACACUUAUUAUGCUCUGGAUUGUACAAGAUUACGUACUGCAAUCAACAUGUUAAACGGCCACUUUGCUUCAGGAAAAUAGGGGAAUAGAAGACAGCGAAGUCAUGUGGAAUCGAAGACAGAAAAUAUAUUUGAGCCACAUUCAGAGUCAAUGAACAAUUUUCAGAUGGAAAACAAAAACAAUAGUUCAAUAGGUUCCUGUCAGACACUUUCAGUUUGGCAGUAACCAAGUACACCACAAAAUUAUAUUUGGCAGUAUCCCAAUUCCCAAGUACUUGUAUAAAUAUAAGGAUGCAGUUUAUGGAUAGCUUGAACUCAACAAAACUACAACCUAGACUGCCCUUAUCGAAUCAACACUGAAUAUCUCAUAUGGCCACUCAGCAUUCCGGACAGUACACAUAAACUAAACCCGAUGUAUUCCUAGUGAGAGUAUACAUAUACUGAACCCAAUGAAAUAAAUGUAUUUGUAGUAUCCUUGUUGACGAUGAUUUCCUGGGCAUCAAAGUCCAGCCAAGCAAUACACAGAGAUAGGGUAAAUACUCUAUUGCAUGGCGCAAGCAGGUAGGCACCACAUAAAACAAUAGGGGGGAUAUCUUUCUUCAGAGUCAGCAACACUGUGUUGGUGAAUGAUUUUUAACAGUAUUCCAAUGAGAGAAAAAAAGGAUCCACAAAUCGAUACAUACAUCAGUAGACCACAAUAUUUUCAUUUCAUCCUCAGCGUCAGGAAAUAUUAAAUAUUUUCAUUUCUUCUUCAACAUGGUUAGAUAAUGGUUCACCUUGUUGAAGGGGUUCGAGUCGUCCGACAGAGCGCGAGUGGAGGUGGAGACCGGGAUAGGACGUUGACGACCCCUGACAGGCGGUGAUUACUGGUGGACUAUGGGAGGAAGUCAAGGGCAGCAGCGAUUUUAGGGCUAUGACGGUGAAUCGUGGGCACCUGUGGAUGAGAGAGGUUGAUCGAGGAACACGAUUAGGCUUAGGCACAGUGGUCCUGGAGAAUUGGAAAAGAAGAGGAGAGCGACGAACCAGUAUGCAAUGAGCCAACCUCGAGGACAGAAGGUUGUG
rnacentral:lncRNA from 1 species